rnacentral:rRNA from 1 species
AACGAACGCUGGCGGCAGGCUUAACACAUGCAAGUCGAGCGCCUCGCAAGGGGAGCGGCAGACGGGUGAGUAACGCGUGGGAACAUGCCCAAAGGUACGGAACAACUCCGGGAAACUGGAGCUAAUACCGUAUGUGACCGAGAGGGGAAAGAUUUAUCGCCUUUGGAUUGGCCCGCGUUGGAUUAGCUAGUUGGUGGGGUAAAGGCCUACCAAGCCGCCGAUCCAUAGUUGGUCUGAGAGGAUGAUCGGCCAAAAUGGGAUUGGAAACCGGCCAGACUCCUACGGGAGGCAGCAGUGGGGAAUAUUGGACAAUGGGCGCAAGCCUGAUCCAGCCAUGCCGCGUGUGUGAUGAAGGCCUUAGGGUUGUAAAGCACUUUCGCCAGGGACGAUAAUGACGGUACCUGGAUAAGAAGCCCCAGCUAACUUCGUGCCAGCCGCCGCCGUAAAAC